rnacentral:lncRNA from 1 species
CACCAUCCUCCAUGCGUUCUCCAAGAGGCGGUGACCAUGCCUCGAAAGCUACAGCUUGCAGACUGCCUGCGCUUGCUCCAUGUCCUCGAGGCAAUGCUCAGCAGCAGGAUAUGGCAGCGGGGGCCGAGAGCUGGGAGGGAGAUACGCUAGUCCCUUGCCUCCCCCUCCAACCGGCACGUCCAACACCCAAGUCGCUGAGGUUGGCAAACUGGAGGCAGCCAGUAUCCGCAAGGCCAAAACCCAGCCACAAACCAGCAGGUCCGCAGCAAGGCACAACCACCUGCACUCUGGGAACACCAACUGCCCCGGUGCUGGCCCCCGAGGCUGCGAGUGGCCCCGCAGAUGAGAUGGAACCAGAUCCCAGUGCUCAGGAGGGCACAGGAGAUGUCGAUGAGGCUCCUGCUUCACAUUCCCUCGCAGCACAACAGGCAGCAGAUGAUGGUGCCAAAGCUGGCGGCAUUUCUUGGGGCAUGCUGGUGGCCAAGGACACUGAAGAGAGGGUGCGCUCCUGGAUGAGAGAGCACAUGUUGCUGUCCUGCUGUCUUUGUGCUUCCCGCUCCGUUGUUCUGGUGGAUGUAGAGGAAGAGAGGAAGGACAGCCGUAAGAGAGAUGCUGCAGCAGAGGCGGCUGAAGUCCCAGUGAGAACACCAUCUGGCGAGGCAGAGGCCCAGCCUCCAGCUUCGGCUGUGGCUGCGAGCCCUCAGCACGAGGCGGACAGGCUGGAUCUCAGGAAGGGAGUGCCCCACAGCAAUGUCUCCGCGGAAGGGAGACAGCCUCAGUCAACUCGUGGAGCAUCCCUCUUUGUUCCUGCGCCCCCCCUCCAGCCUGCACAUGCCACACAGAAGUCACUCGGGUUGGCAUAUCGGGGGCGUCCAGUAGCCGCAAGACCAAAACCCAGCCAGAAACCAGCAGGUCCACAGCAAGGCCCACCCACCUGCACUCUGGGAACACCGAGAUCUGCCCAGGUGCUGGCCCCCAAUGCUGGGAGUGGCCCCGCAGAUGAGACGCGACCAGGUCCCAGUGCUCAGGAGGGCAGAAGAGACGCAGACGGGGCUCCUAGCUCACGUUCCCUGGCAGCACAACAGGCAGCAG